rnacentral:ncRNA from 1 species
ACAGUGAUGUUGGGGCUAAAGGAAGCGUGAAACAAAAUCGUGGUUCAACGAACAGAAACUUGAUAUAAAGGGAUAAGGUUGCAAAACAAACUAAAGUCCAAAAGAUACACGUAACUUUGUAUAGUAAAUCAAGUGAGUAAACGAGGAAAGUUAU